rnacentral:rRNA from 1 species
UAGGGAAUCUUCCACAAUGGACGAAAGUCUGAUGGAGCAACGCCGCGUGAGUGAAGAAGGGUUUCGGCUCGUAAAACUACUGUUGUUAAAGAAGAACAUAUCUGAGAGUAACUGUUCAGGUAUUGACGGUAUUUAACCAGAAAGCCACGGCUAACUACGUGCCA